rnacentral:rRNA from 1 species
GGGUUGUGAGGUUAAGCGACUAAGCGUACACGGUGGAUGCCCUGGCAGUCAGAGGCGAUGAAGGGCGUGCUAAUCUGCGAUAAGCGCCGGUAAGGUGAUAUGAACCGUUAUAACCGGCGAUUUCCGAAUGGGGAAACCCAGUGUGAUUCGUCACACUAUCAUUAACUGAAUCCAUAGGUUAAUGAGGCGAACCGGGGGAACUGAAACAUCUAAGUACCCCGAGGAAAAGAAAUCAACCGAGAUUCCCCCAGUAGCGGCGAGCGAACGGGGAGGAGCCCAGAGCCUGAAUCAGCAUGUGUGUUAGUGGAAGCGUCUGGAAAGGCGCGCGAUACAGGGUGACAGCCCCGUACACAAAAGCGCAUGUGCUGUGAGCUCGAUGAGUAGGGCGGGACACGUGGUAUCCUGUCUGAAUAUGGGGGGACCAUCCUCCAAGGCUAAAUACUCCUGACUGACCGAUAGUGAACCAGUACCGUGAGGGAAAGGCGAAAAGAACCCCGGCGAGGGGAGUGAAAAAGAACCUGAAACCGUGUACGUACAAGCAGUGGGAGCCCCACCACUAAGCCAGUGGUGAACUCCACAUCCGCAUCCUUUGCUGAGGAUACGGUUAACGGAGCGAAAGCGACGUUCAACCGCAAAACAAGCAGAGGGGGCUUAG